UUAACAGCGCUACUAAACCUUCAUCACGGGGGUACAGGGGAGAGUUUCUCGUCUGGUGGUUCUUGGAUCCAUCACCAGUUGGAGCCACAAGACAGAGGAAGAAGAUGGAGGACGGACCAAGAGUACGACGUCCUGACACCUCUGAAAAUAUCGUCCUGAGGCAUCGGAAGCUUCAAGGACCAACAACACAUCUCCAUCGCAAGUUCAGACUCGACCGUACGGACCCGUCCGGUCUCGUCUACGACUCCUUUAACGGAGAAACGCCGCCGACCCGCGAUGGGCGAGACCGACGUCGUUACUUCACGUCGUGUCAUUGGGUGUAGAAGCCGAGUGUAUUAGAGGACUUGUAUUUAAGUGCAUUUGUACAGUAAUCCUAUAAGAGUGGUCAUUUAUGUACUGUAUAUGUUUGUGUCUAAAGUCACGUUCCAUUGGUGUCGGUGGUACGGGACCUCUCAAAACUAUGGCCCAGAUUCACAUUUUCCAUCCCAUACCAAAUUUUGAAUGUGUGUUUAUUUAGUUUUUAUCUAGAGUACAGUACAGUAUAUUAAUAACUUGAAGGUUUGUUUUCAAAACAUAAUUUCAUUGUUUAUUUAUUAUGAUACUCUACAAAUACUGUGCUACUUUUUAUACUUGUAUGAUUCAGUUGAGUUAAUUAAACUUUUAUUUGCAUAGUUUUGAAGAAGACUACAGUACAUAGUUUAAAUGUUUACAUAUCAACAGUGCAGUACUUUAUCUUAAGUAAUAUUUUCAGGUACUUUCUCCAUCACUGCCUAAAGUGGACCUGAACUUUUGGACCUGAUGUGAACUAGAAUGAAGUUGGCUGGAUAUAAAGUUAACUGGACCUGCAGUGAAGUGGACCUGAAGUAGUCUGUGGUACUUUCUCCAUCACUGCCUAAAGUGGACCUGAACUUUUGGACCUGAUGUGAACUAGAAUGAAGUUGGCUGGAUAUAAAGUUAACUGGACCUGCAGUGAAGUGGACCUGAAGUAGUCUGUGGUACUUUCUCCAUCACUGCCUAAAGUGGACCUGAACUUUUGGACCUGAUGUGAACUAGAAUGAAGUUGGCUGGAUAUAAAGUUAACUGGACCUGCAGCGAAGUGGACCUGAAG